GGUUGGGGGAGGAGUGGGGAGGAGGAGGAGGGAAACAGGAGACCCCAGGCUUUGGCUAUGACGGGGUCAGCCUUUCUACACCAUUCCGGGAUGCUGGUGUCCACCACUGCUGCCUGGGCACGGGGAACAGAGAAUCUGCCUGGUGGGAGCAGACAAGAGGUUCGAGGACCAGAGCUCAUCCUCUUCGACCAAACCAAUGCACAACUCCUACGUACUGAUGGUGGUCUUACGUUUCCCUAAGUUUCUGCCGACUAAACUGUGCACACGUUCUCAGGACCUCCUGAAGCUGCGUCACAGGCGCUGAUCAAAGAACACAACCAAGGUGAGUGUCAAUCAUUUCAAGAAAUCUAUUUGCAAGGUUAAGGACACACCUGAGAAAAGAACAGAGAACCACAGGAAAAACUGUGGUCCGUGCUUUUCCCAAAGAUUGUCUGGGGGCCUCAGUAAGUAAAGGGGAAAAGUGCGGGUAUUGGGGAAAGGGGAAGAAGUGGAAAAAAUGGGUGUGGGUAAAUCAGAGGCAAAUGGUUGCAUUCUUCUGUCUUUGGUCAGUGUUCACUGAAUACACAUUUUACAUGCGAUGGAGGUAGAGGCAGGGAUGUAGCUUUUUUAUCUUUGUGUAAUAGCUAUCUUAUUUAGGAACCAGAUGGGAAGCAGGUUUGCAUAAGCCAGUUCCCAGCUUGGCUUUUCCCUUUGGCUUAGUGAGUCUGGGG
rnacentral:lncRNA from 1 species